rnacentral:rRNA from 1 species
UACGAAGGGGGCUAGCGUUGCUCGGAAUCACUGGGCGUAAGGGUGCGUAGGCGGGUUUUUAAGUCAGGGGUGAAAUCCUGGAGCUCAACUCCAGAACUGCCUUUGAUACUGAAGAUCUUGAGUCCGGGAGAGGUGAGUGGAACUGCGAGUGUAGAGGUGAAAUUCGUAGAUAUUCGCAAGAACACCAGUGGCGAAGGCGGCUCACUGGCCCGGUACUGACGCUGAGGCACGAAAGCGUGGGGAGCAAACAGG